rnacentral:rRNA from 1 species
AUUGAACGCUGGCGGCAGGCCUAACACAUGCAAGUCGAUCGGAGCGGAGGUCGGGUAAGUAAUGCUUAGGAAUCUGCCUGUUCCUGGGGGAUAACGUUCACUACCGGGCGCUAAUACCGCAUACUAUCAGAUUAGCCUAGGUCGGGUUUGCUAGUUGGUGGGGUAAUGGUCUCCCAAGGCGACGAUCCUUAACUGGUCUGAGAGGAUGAUCAUUCACACUGGAACUGAGACACGGUCCAGACUCCUACGGGAGGCAGCAGUGGGGAAUAUUGGACAAUGGGCGAAAGCCUGAUCCAGCCAUGCCGCGUGUGUGAAGAAGGUCUUCGGAUUGUAAAGCACUUUAAGUUGGGAGGCGGUACCAGCAGAAUAAGCACCGGCUAACUUCGUGCCAGCAGCCGCGGUAAUUC